rnacentral:lncRNA from 1 species
GAUGAGCCUCUUGCAGGGCACGCAGACCCCACACCUUUUCCUCUUCUUCUUGGCUGGGUUGGCUCCGCCAGCUCCCCCUGAGGAGGACGAGGAGGAGGAGGAAUGAUUCUGCGGGCAGUCUGCCAGAUUGGCAAUUUGAAACGCACUGUCUGUGACGGCUGCUGAGGCUGCUGCGGGGGAGUGAAGGGCUGUCAUGACGAUGACCCCUGGAGCACUCUUUUUGCUGGGGAGAAAGAAGAGGGGAAGGAUGAUUACUCAGAGACUGCUCAAGUCACUCUGAGGUUGACAAACCUGAGGAAGUCAUCACUUCUUUAUCCUGUGCCUUGGAAUAAAGACAUAUGAAAUGAAACCACUCCAACUCUAAGCUUGGAGUCAAGUACGACCCAUUCAAAGUCAAACAGACAAGAUUAGGAAACCAAUGCGAACCUACAGACCAAAGACUAGAAGAAAAAAGGAUUCUGAGCUCUGACUUCCCUCCUUGUCAUGUUGCCUGAGGAGAAUUGCAGACAGACCCUCAGACCUCAAAUAGUCUAGAUUUUGAAGACCCUGCUUUGGCUGAGAUGAGGCCAGCAUUGGAGUAGAAAUGCUGCUUGCUUCACUGAAGCUACAGGUAGAAGCUGACUACCAAAGGAGAAGGCUGAGGAGAAAUUGCUCCAUGAGAUAAGGCAAGACAUUUAUCCCUGAAUGCUGUCUCUCCAAAUGCACAGAAACAUGUCAUAAAGUGUGGGACUAGGGUCUCUAAAGGACAUGUAAUACCUCAUUUCUGGAGAUAUGGUCUAACAUGAAAGGGUCAUAAUCGAUGGUCAAGUCACAAAAUUUAUUUCUAGAGUCAUUUUACUAAAUAUGGAGAGAUCUGCAAAAAUUGUAUGCCUGGGGAAAAUCCCAAUCAGACCAACUGACCCAGACCAAUCAAUGACAACUCAGAGUAGUAAUGAAAAAUUCAUUUAGACUAACUCCCAUAAUUUGCUAAGAGGCACUGUACUAAGUAUAUAACACAAUAUCUCAUUGUGUGAUCCUUAUAAUAGCUCUAUGAGGUACAUGUCAUUCUUCCUAUUUUUUAGACAGAAAAGUCUCUGAUAAAUAACUUGUCCAAAGUCACGUAUUUACCACAUUUACCAGAGUUAUAACCCAAAUCGGUCUGACUCUAAAUGCUCUUAGCCAUUCAGUCCUACUGCAAAAUAAGCACACCAGUGGAGAGCAAUAGAGAAUGGGAACGCAGUCACAAUGGGAGCCUGUCAUUGGAUCUCAUGUAUGCAGAGGUUCCUUCUUCCAGGAGAGCUUUGCCCUUGUCCUCAUGAACUUUUAUGUCAAUACAUUCAAUGCACUGUAUUGGAUUUCUAGAUUGGGAGCUAAAAAAAGAACAGAUUUCUAAAUAUCAGCUAUCUUAUUUUACCAGCUUGCCUUAAACCAGUUACAGAAUAUCUCUAUUUAUAAUUAUUUUUACCUAAAAAUAGGAAUAAAACUACUCUUCAAUAUGUGAUUUUUAAAAAGGAUGAUAAAAUCAAAGGAAUUUAGAAUAAUCCUUGCACAUAGUGGGCACUUAGAAACUUUUGCUUCCUUAUUGACUCCCUUCUCCUUACAUUUCAAUCUUGUUCCAUGUCUCAUGGCCUCUUCAGAGCAGAGACUAUGUAGUAUUUACCUUCAUAUCUUCAGACAAAAUGCUUAGCAUAUAGUCGGUGGUCAGUUACUGGAAAUGAUUUAAAGACAUUGAGAAUUACUUCCUUUGAAAUUUUAAGAGGUGUGGUAAAACUUUGGUUUCAGAAUAUAUCUUUAUUGAUUUUUUAAAUAUGUAUUUUUCUUAUAUAUUAUGGUCAACCUCUUGGGAUCUUUAGAAAAGAACAUUUUCCAGUUUUUUUGAAUCUCGGGCCAAGAGAAUUAGAACACUCCAUAAAAUUACACAGGUAUAUCUGAUAAAGGCCAUACUCUAUUUUUCCAUAUAAGUAUAAAACUGUUGUAUAAAAAAUUACCUUCUGGCCAGGUGUAGUGGCUCACACCUGUAAUUUCAGCACUUUGGGAGGCCAAGGCAUGCAGAUCACUUGAGGCCAGGAGUUCAAGGCCAGCCUGGCCAACAUGGCGAAACCCCCCUCUACUAAAAUACAAAUAUUAGCUGGGCCUGGUGGCACGUGCCUGUAAUCCUAGCUACUGUGGAGGCUGAGGUGGGAGAAUUGCUUGAACCCAGGAGGCGGAGGUUGAAGUGAGCCAAGAUCAUGCCACUGCACUCUAGCCUGGGCAACAGAGCAAGACUCUGUCUCAAAUAUAUAAAUAAAUAAAUUACCUUGUAAAAUAUUAUCCUCUUCCCUCAAAUAUAUACAGUAAAAGAUGUCUGUCUAAUAUUAUAAUAUAUUUUGUUUAGCAAAAAUACAUUAGUCAGUUAUUUAUCUUAAAUUUCCUUUAUCCUCCUGAGUCUAACAUGUUUAUUUUUAUACUGGACUUUGGUCUAUCCAUUUCACAUAUGGGUCAACUAUUUCCUAUACAGAUAGUUUAGUUAUCUGUUAGCUGCAUAGCAACCUAAUCCCAAAAUAGUGUUUUAACAUUUCUUCACCAUCGCUGAGUUGUCUGGACUCAGCUGAAUGGUUGUUCUGCUUCCUAUGAUGUCAGCGAGGGCUAUAGUCAUGUGAGGUCAUACGUGGCCUACAACAUCCAAGAUGGCUGCCUCCUAUAACUGGCAACGGAUGUAAGCUGUUGGUUGAGAAAUGCUAGUAAGCAGGUCUCCUAAGUUUUCCUCCACAUGACCUCUCCAUGUGGCUGGUUUCUGAGAAGGAGUACCCAAAGAGUGAACAUUUCAAGAGAAGGAAGCAGAAGCUAAAGGUCCCUUAAGGCCUCCUUUCUGUGCAUUCAGUUGCUCAAAGGCCAGCCCAGAUUCAAAGGAGGAGAAAUAAACACUCCUGUUGAUCUGAUGUGCAUUAAAGAGAAGAAAUUAGUGAGUCAUUUUUAAAGACUGAUCAUUAAAUAUAGUUACCCUGUUAUAUUUUUUCAUAAAUGAUUUCCUUCUCCAUUCUACCCCUAUAAAUUUUUCUCUAUAUGUGAGAAUUUAAAAUCUGUGGUUUCUUUCUAUGUACUAAUCUACACAUAGUUGUGUUUAUUAUUUGUCUUUGAUGAAUAUAUUAUAUGAUACUGAAAGCCUGAUAUCCUAUUAAACAUUUAAAUAAAUAUUUCACAUUUUAGAAUUCUGAGCUCUAACUCCUUCUUUAUCCUCAGCAUUAGAAUUAGACAAAAGCACUCAGAUGUAAAAUAUACCAAAUGAGGCAGUGGGGGAGGUAGGUGGUAAAAUAGUUUUUUUGUUAGUCUUCUUUUUCUCUUUUUGUUCAUAUAUUUUGAGCUCUCAAAAUGGCUGUAAAAUGCUUUAUUACAUUGCUAAUAUAUGCUUAAUUUAAAAAAAUCCAAACUCUACCAAAUUUAGCUAAAUGAAAUAAUUAUAUGCUGUAUUGGUGUGUAAGAGGUGGGGAGAAGGAGCACAUUCUAAACUUCCUUGCUCUUUUCUAAAUUUGUCUGUGAGAGAGCACCGAUUAAGAGUCAGAAUUUCUAACUCCAGUGUGGACUUCAAUGGAGUAACUAUUAAACAAGAUGCAUAACAAGGGUUACCAUGAUAAUCAGGUGAAGUUAUUAAAUAGAAAAGAACAUAUUUCUGUCUUUUAUAAGAAGAAAGACAUCAUUUCCAUAGAGAAAUGAAGGAACUCUGAAGCCUGGAAACCCUUGGGAGGGGAGCACAUGUAUUAUUCUAGAUUAGAACUAAACAUUCCAGCAUGAAGGAUGACCUCAUAUGGCCUCCCUGUCGAAAGGUAUGUAAAAACAAAUGUUAUAACUAUGAAUUUGACAUUAACCAUGGGGAAAUUUAAGACAAAUGGAAGUUAUACAUUAUUGAUGAAUCUCUUUGGGAAACUUGUUGAAGUUAUAUGGCAAUUUUUCAUUCACUAAUCAGACAAUAAGGUUAUUGGGUCAUGAAUGGUAGGUAGACUUAGCAAAUAGUAUUCCUAUUGUGUAAGUUCUUCUUGUGCCUUUUCUUGUUAUUAGGUAAAUUAUACCUGGAUAUUCUUUAAAUGGGAAAUUGUCUGUGUUCGUGUAAUUGAAGCAACAUCACAUCUGUUAAUAGAGAGUAGAAGGUAUAAUCAGAAUUUUGUUACAAGUGGAAAAGAAGGAAAUUAAUAUUCUUUUUGUUUUUAGACAUGCAACCUAUGUAUUAAGUAAGACAUUGUUGAUGGUAAGUACGUACUGCUCGGCAUUGAUUUCUUACUUGCUGCAAGGAGGUAGACCCAAGGGGAACUCAAAUAUGGAAGACAGGAAAUAAGAAGUCAAUAUAGUGAAAGGCAAGAACUUGAUUUGAUGAAACUCAUCAUUAAAUGAUGAAACUGAUCACUCAACAUAUGCUAUUACUAGAGCUUUUUAGUAGAGAUAUGUUACUAUUGGUGUGAGCCAAUAUAAAUUUGCAUUGUAAUAAAGAGCACUGGAUCUGAAAUGAGACUAGCAAAUCACUUACUAUCUCAGUGUUUCUUUGAAUGUCUAUAAGAUAGGGGUAAAAACCGAAUAUAAGGUAAGGUACAUGAGAAAAAUUGUCAUGAUAUUUAGGAGUUUUAGUAAUAAUUAUAUAAACAUUAAUAUUUCUGGGUAAGUUUCACAAAAGAGAAAAUCUUCUAAGAAGCUAAAAGGGGUAAGCUUUCCUAUAAAGGAACGAGGAGAGAAUUAUAGCAAAAUUUCAUCAGAAAUCAUGCAAGCAAGAAGAAAGUAAAGUAAAAUAUUUGAAUUGUUUAAAAAAAACCCACACCAACCUAAACUUCUGUAUCCAGUAAAAUUAACCUCCCAAAGUGAAAAAGAAAUAACUUUCUCAGACAAACAAAAACUGAGGUACUCCAUUUUCAGUAGACUUCCACUACAAGAUGUUAAAAGAUGUUCUUCAGAAGGAAAGCGAU